GGGGGUCUCGCGCACGCGCGCGCGCGCGGGAGAUCGAGCGCCCGCGCUAGGUUAGUGCGAGACCCCGCCGGCUUGCGGCGGGGGCUGAGCGCCGGCCAUGUCCAAGUGCGCAAGCCCAGAUCUCGGCGCGCCCCUGAGGAGUUUCUGUGGGAAGAUUUUCUGUUUUCCAGGUUUCCCAAGGGAAACGAAGAAAGGGAGGGGGAUAAUCAAUGACUGAACCUCUAAUAGAUGUUGGACGACGUUAAAAAAAAAAAAUGUAUCGGCCCUACCCUCGAGGAUUUGACAAAUUAGACUGACCAGAGUGAUAAGAGAUACAGGCAGAAGAGGAGACAUAGACACACACAGAGGAGAAGAUGAUGUGAAAAGGGAGGCAGAGAUCACAGUGGUGUGGCUACAAGCCAAGAAAUACCGAAGCCAUCAGAAGUUGGAAGAGAGAACCAAGGAAGUGGAGAUACAGUUCUUCUGGGAAGGACCCUCUGAAGGGAUGAGCUCCAGAGAUUCUGCACAUUGAUUUUUUGAGGGAAGAGAAGAAAUGGUUAGCCAUGAUUUUAGGGAAGUUUGAAAUAUAAUAUAUAAUAGCUCACAUUAAUUCUACAUUCUAAUCUUUAAAUAUCAAGAUAGCUCCAGGACUAAUCUUUGGAAAUGACAAAUAAAGGUAAUUGCUAAAGGGAAAAUGUUUAUAUAUUAUAUUGACCACAUAGCAAGUCUCUUUCUAUUUCUAUCUAUCUGUCUAUUGUUUGCCUAUCUAUCUAUCUGUCGUCUUCAUCACCAUCAUCAUCUAUCUAUAUAGGGAUAUCGAAUGGCCCACUGAAGAGUAAGUGCAAAUUGAAGAUACGUUUCAGUCACCACUCUAAGCAGUAAGUGACCUUUCCAUCCAAAAGGGUUAAAUUUAAAUCCCCCUUCCCAUUGUCAUAGUUUGAAAAACACGUAUCUCUAGAGGAAACACAGAAGACAAAAAUAACUCAGGCAGCAAAUACUUAGGUUGAAUACAGAGACCUGCAACAUCAAAUAGCCACAACAUAUUCUAGAGGGUUUUGGAGGGAAACUAAUCCAUACAAAUCAACUGAUAAAGACUUGGUACUUAAAGACCAUACUCUGAGUCAAUACAUAAGUAAAGACUAAAUUGCAAGAAUAUGGGCAUUGAAGCAAGAAUUUGGCAUUUAAAACAGACAUUAGGCAUAUAAUAUUGGAUCCAAACAAGAUCUACACAGAACCUAUUCUUGUAGCCACACCAGUUAAGAGUAUGUACAUAUACAAUAUGUAUUGUAUGUAUGUCUAUGUAUAUACAUAUUAUGACAUGAUCAUUUUGAUUGAGUGAUUUUGAAAUCAAAUGUAUUUUUACGUAGCCACUUUGAUAACAGUUAUUUUUCCAUGAGGAAAUUUGAUGCAGUCUAUAAAAUAAUUCAUUGCCCCUUGAUUUAAAAAAGAUUAAAUAGUUUGUGAAAUUAUAUACCAUGAACUACUCCUAAGUUUCAUCUAAUGCCCACAACCACCCUUGAGGGGUAGAGAUUCUUAGAUUGGUAAUGAUAUCAAGGGUAAGAUAGAGGUUAAGUAUUAUAUGAAAAGACAAACUGAUACAAACAGGAAAAAAAAGACAGACCCAGUAUGUGUCCUCUGUUGUUUAGAUACUCUUUUUUUGUCUUUCAGCUCUCCUAUUCUGCCUCUUUUCUGCAAUCUUCUUUAUAAUAAAACAGAAAAUUACAAUAAAACAAAGAGAAAACCAUGACUUUUGAAGUGUGAGUUCAAUGAAGAUUGGCAAGAAAGCUUCACAUAUGCCUAUGGCCAGUCCCUCUGACCUUUUCUUCCUGUUGUCAUAGUGGGCAGAAUCAAGGGUUCCAGACCAUUCCAUGUUCUUAAAGGGGCCACCUUUCCUUCCAUGGUGGACUUAAUUUCAUUGGUCUAGGCUUCUUUCUCUUAUCAGGCAAGAAAGAGUAGUAUAUCUGAUGGGAUGAAACAAGGCCUAUAUAAAAUUUGGAUUUGGGGGACCUAAACACGGACUCUUUAGCUUCAGCAGUGUGGAUGUGUUAGGGAGGAUUCCUUUGGAAGCAGUAAGGGUCUCCAAAUGUAGAGGGAUGGGUGUGUGCCUCCUUUUUUUUUUUUUUUUUUUACCAGUUUGGACCGAAUUUAAACUUAUUAAUCCAAACCCAGUCCUCGAUCCAACUAGGUAGAUAUAGAAAAUUGUUCUAAGCAAAACUUAAAGAGUAGAAAAUUAUAAAGUAGAUGGCAGGGCCAAAGAGUAACGGCAAUGGUGAGAUUAUUUUUGAGAUCUGGUCUCAGAAAGAGUGGCGAUGGUAGUGGCUAUAAGAGUGUGGCACUCCACUCAUAUGUGCACAUGAGGGUACAGAAAAAAAAAAACAGCAGCUAGUUAGUGAAGGCAGGUUUCUCUGGAAGUAGUGACCAUAUCAAACUCUGGAGGUAGGGUGACCAUAUAAUUUCUUGUCCAAACCAGAACACUUAUGAGAGUGGCAGUGGCAGCAGUUAAGGUUUACAUUAAAAUAACAGGCAGAAGUGUGUAAAGGGACAUUUAUAGCACUAAAUGUCCACAAGAGAAAGCAGGAAAGAUCUAAAAUUGACACCCUGACAUUACAAUUAAAAGAACUAGAGAAGCAAGAGCAAACACAUUCAAAAGCUAGCACACGGCAAGAAAUAACUAAGAUCAAGCAGAACUGAAGGAGAUAGAGACACAAAAAAACCUUCAAAACACCAGUGAAUCCAGGAGCUGGUUUUUUGAAAAGAUCAACAAAAUUGGUAGACCGCUAGCAAGACUAGUAAAGAAGAAAAGGGAGAAGAAUCAAAUAGACAC